AAUAAGGGCCGGGCGGUUGCCAUGGGGCUGCAGGCGAGCUCAUAUCUGGGUAAAGUUAGGGUAAUGUUUGGCCUCUGUUGAUCAUUUAACUUGACAGAGCUUAAAAGGUGCCCUGCAUUUUCCUUCCUGAGUAUUUGUGGACUAGCUUGAAUGUACAUGUUUGCUACAUGUGAUGAAGAUGCUUCUCUUGUUGCAUACAGGUAAUCUGCAGAAUGGCGGCCAUGCUGACCAUGCACAGUUGAACGCCUGCUGCUGCCUUGAACUGUGUGGUGCCUGGAAACUCUUCCAAGUUUGGAAGAUAGCAACAUUUUCUGAGCUCUGCUCAGAUAACAUGAAGAAAGCGUGUUCAGACUGCUUCACAGCUGUGUCCCACACUUCCCCCUGUGCUCUCAACUGUGUGCAUCAAACUCCUCAGUGAUCCCCAUCGAUCGGCCCAGCAGCUGUAGUGCCACCUUAGCCGAGUGAGCUCUAGCCAGGAUGCUUGGCACCGCCAGCCCCCGUCACCUCAAGCAUCCACCUAGAAUCCAGCAACGAUCUCAUCUCCAGCUUUAGUAAUAGUGACCUUCUGGGCAAGAUGGAAGAUUAGAGCUUUAAUUAUGUAAAGAAGCAAAAAGUAAUUGCAAUAACGAUUUGGAAACAUGACUGCCGGGUUAUAAAUAAUGAAGCUACCACGUCUCCUCAGUUCAGAUAAAAUAUUCAUUCAGGGUGGUGAUUAAAUAACCUGUAAAGAAAAUUGUCUCUUUCUCCUUGAUUAAUGAAGUUCUUCAGAGAAUUUACACAGGAAAAAAGGUGAAGUCUUCCAGAUGUGCGUUUGUGACACAGGACAUUCUUAUUAUACCAAGGCUUGUCUCUGUGUGCUGUCUUGACCCUCAGUUCCUUUCUAGCGUGGUGGUUGAUCUUGUGUUUGUCAUGCCUGCCCUCUGAGGAUGGCAGGUACAUACGACCAAUGUGAGGUGGGUCUUACACAUCCCUUUGCCAUCAGGGCUGCAUAGGAGGUGAGGUCGGACAGUGUGGGCAGUUGACACCUUGGAGUCCAGAUUGUCUACACACACACACACACACACACACACACACACCACACACACACACACACACACACACAGUGCUUGUGCAGACACAGUCCUGGGGAAGAGCACACAGUCAGCUCUUCCCCAUUCUUAAGCUUUUGUUCCAAAGUCUGCCCCCUGCUGGAACACUCAUAAAUAUGCAGCGGAGGCUGGCCGAGCUUCCUGGGGUGGUUUUCAGUGUGGUCCCCUUUCUGCCAGGGGGCAGAUUGGGGCCAGCUAAAGCUAUGGGUUUGCAGUCUUCUGACAGGAUGCAGGUACUCAUUCGGGAAAGAGUGGGGCUGAGGUGCAGGUGCUGCUCACGUCCCUUCCUGCGAGCGCCAUGGUAGUGAGAGCUUGCUUCUUCCCUCUCCCCUGGCUUCAGAGC
rnacentral:lncRNA from 1 species